GGUGAGAUGGCCGAGUGGUUAAGGCGCUAGUUUCAGGUCCAGAUUACCUUUACACUAGUCAUUCUAUGGCGUGGGUUCGAAUCCCACUCUCAUCA